CGGGUGAGUAACACGUGAGGAACCUGCCCGAAGACCGGGAUAACGCCGGGAAACUGGUGCUAAUACCGGAUGCCCUCGCCGGAUCGCAUGGUCUGGCGAAGAAAUGGAUUCCGCUUCGGGAUGGCCUCGCGGCCUAUCAGCUUGUUGGUGGGGUAACGGCCCACCAAGGCAGCGACGGGUAGCUGGUCUGAGAGGAUGUCCAGCCACACUGGGACUGAGACACGGCCCAG
rnacentral:rRNA from 1 species